rnacentral:rRNA from 1 species
UACGUAGGUGGCAAGCGUUGUCCGGAUUUAUUGGGUUUAAAGGGUGCGUAGGCGGUUUUUUAAGUCAGUGCUGAAAUACUCCAGCUUAACUGGAGGGGUGGCAUUGAUACUGGAGGACUUGAGUACAGAUGAGGUAGGCGGAAUUGACGGUGUAGCGGUGAAAUGCAUAGAUAUCGUCAAGAACACCGAUAGCGAAGGCAGCUUACUGGGCUGUAACUGACGCUGAUGCACGAAAGUGUGGGGAUCAAACAGG